CGGGCAGUCGUAAUUGAGAGGGCAGAGAGAGCUGGGAGCAGCAGAAGUCCGAGGCAGAUUUUGCGAGAGCGAGUUAUUACAAGAGGAUGGGGCGUCAACACACAAGCCCAAAGCGGCCAAGCAAGGGCACAAAUGUCCAAUAUGUGGGCUGGACUAUGCCGACUUAACGCAGCACAUUAAACUAGGUGAACGCGUGGUCAACAGAACUGAACUGGAACUGCUGUCUAAGUUGGCACACAGACGGUGCAGGAGGCCUUUAUCUCUCACACCCAGGUUUGUUCAAGGUUGUCACACCGGCGGAAGGAGUAUCAGACUGCUCAGCGGCAGAUAGGUUGAAGCUCGGAGCCUUUCCCUGUUCCGACUCCAACCCCUCUUUGAAGUAUUCGGGGAGCUCGAGGCACUCGGAGCCACUGGAAGUGUGAAAGAAGGUUUCUGCCUCUAGUCCUCCCUCAAUGCAAGACCGGAGACUGUUGUAUCUGAGGAACCGG